CCGGCUAGCGAGCGACUCCACUUCCCCCUCUUUCUCUCCCCCACCUUUUCCUCCGUCGCACAGCCGCCGCCACCCUCCAUCACCACGUCUCGAAGCCAGCGCCGCUGUCGCCAGAGGAAAAGAGCAGGGGAACGCGCAGCCAUCGAUCCCGUGCACCGUCUCUCCCUCUACUUGAGGACUUGCGGCGAAGAAGUCGCCGGAGGCGGAGCUCGACCCGGACGACGACAGCCAGAGGACGUCAAGGCCCCGCCGAGCAGGAGCCUGGCUAGAGGAUAGUGUGGUGCAGCCGUGCAGGGUGCCUCACCACCAUCGUCGUCCUUGCCACCACGGGCGCCACUGAGGCCAGCCUCUCCUCCACACACAGGUUCUUGCAGAUCGUAGGGCUUGAUGUGUGCUGCAAUUUAUUUGGCAUUAUGAACUCUAGCAUGACAAAUGGAUCUGGGGUGAUGGAUUUAACAAUCACUGGAGAUGGAUGCUGCCUUUGUGCAGUACUAGCAAUCAAAUGGAUUUGGGAUAAGGGAUUUGGAAUUGUGAAUGUGAGCAACCAAGCAAUCAGGCUUUUCAUCCGCCCGUUUUUGUGAAGGAGGUUUGCAGAAACAACAAUAUUGCAAAGCUUCACCGUCUCUGCAACAUCAAUAUCCCUAAGGUACUUCUGCACUAUCUUGACUGAACCUCAAGUUUUUUACAGACCAUAGCCUGCGUUCCUCGUCAUUUCGUGGAGAUGAUAAUUUCUGAGAUUUUACUACUACUUGUGUGAUUACGAGAUUGAUUUCGAUCUGUUAGAGCUACAUGUUGAAUGGGGUGAUGAGGUCUACAAGGCUGCAGUGAAUUGUUUGGUGGAAAUCAAAGAAUGUGGCAGGCUGGCGGACAGACCAUCAUACCCGAGAUUUGAAAUUACAAGGAGGACAGGAAGGCCACUCCAGUGGAAGUGUUGAGUACAUGUGUAGCCAAGUGAAGCGUCUGAGAGGUGUGAAAGCCAGGGCGAUUGGUAUGACCAUACGAGCUUAACAUGCGCUUACAAGAAAGACUCUUCUGCUUCUUAUAGGUUGUCCUAUGAUUUUUUGCUAGAAUCUUUUUGUGGAUAAUUUAAAACUGAAACAUUAGUACCUAUUGGAAUCGUCAUAAUGGUAUUCAUAGAUUUUGAUACUUGUGAGAAAUGGCAAUCCAUACUAUUUAACGAUGUGGCUAGGGUUUAAAAUUUAGUUGGCUUGCUACAAACACUGUGUUAAAUAAUGCACAGUUGUGUGAUGUCGAUUAUUGUGAUGAUAAUUUCCUGUCUGUUAUAACUACAGGUUGAUGGUUAUGGUAUAAACUCAAUUGUUGAUAUAUUUUUUUACUGGUUUUGGUUACAAGUCUCGUGAAGAACUAAGGUUUCCAGCAGAAAAAACUAAGAGCAUUAUGGUUUUCCCUUCCCAACAAUGAUGGAUACACCAGAACUCGUAUAUAUGGACCUUUGCCAAGGAUAUUCAUUUCUGAACUUAUUGUAGAUUAGCUGAGUGCUCUGAGCCAGGUGCACGAUCCAUACAAUGGUUUUCAUGGUCAUUCAAGUCGAGCGCCGAGACACUCGAGGUGAUGAGCUAGAGUUCGGUGCUUCUGCUGGUGCAUACGCAGGUUUUGGUACAAUAGCUAUUUAGCUAAUUAUUUGUUAUAUCUCAUAAGUCGAAUGAUCAAUUGGCUUUGACUAUAAAUUACUAAACAGACAUAGCAGACUAGCUGAGUACCUACGUAGCUAAUCAUUGAUCUUGUCUUGGGUGAAAGGGUGUCGUUUGUUAAUUCAGAGACUGACUAAAAGGUAACCCAUACGGCUUUAUUUUUUUUACUUCCCUUCUGAACCCUUAUUUACUUGGCUUAUGUUGAUGAUAUUUCUAAUCUUUGCAGGUAUACUCAACUGCAUCUUAGUUUUGUGCUCCUGCUAAUAUAAAUAUCAUAACUCUCAAAGUUUUCAUUAUUUUUUUUACAGAUUCUUGAAGCUUUACGUGUUGGAUUCUCCAAUGUAAUUGAACUAGCUCAACAUCAUGUAGUUACAUUGUCAUGGUAGUAAUCUUUGCCUAUUGUUGACUUAAGAGAGCUAGCUGUUUGCUAGAAUAUAGAGUAUUAAACUGCUAAUUUUACACCUAUUUAUGUACAUGUCAUCAUAGUUAGAUUUCAGAAUCAGUUUUGAUUUAUGAAAAUGCUAGCUCUUUCAUAGUAUAAAAAUAUUUUCAUGAAUUAUAAUGGCAAAUUAUUUUUCUUGUUUUCACGAGUAAUAAUGCCAAAUGCUUUCCUUAUGGUAUUCAGAAGUUAAGGCACUGCGUUUCAGAUCGACGACGCUUUAUACAUGGGUGGGGUUGGCAGUUUUGAGCCACUUAAUUUACGGGUGGCGAUUGCUGUCACCUUUGUUUAAUACCAAAUAUAUUAUCCGUCUGGCUAGAUUUUUAUUAGUUUUUGUGUCACGGGCUGCUAAGAAUGUUCUAGCUGCUGCGGCGGCGACAUCGUCAGUUCUUGCUUUCAGGGCACCCUACUGCAAAUACACCUUCUGGAUCAGGUAUGUAUCAUAUGGCCGUUUGUCUCUCCAGCACGCACAUGAACUACAACCUUAUUUGUGCUUAGUAACAUAUUUUGUUAAAUCACUAGUAGAAAAAGGGUCAUCUGUCCCGGUUGGUAAGGGCCUUUUGUCUCGGUUUUUGAACCGGGACUAAAGGGUCGUUACUAAUGCCCUAGCCUUUUAGUCCCGGUUCUUUCAUGAACCGGGACAGAUGGGCCUCCACGUGGCCGGUGCGGCGAGCCCAGGCAGGAGGGCCUUUGGUCCCGGUUGGUGGCACUAACCGAGACCAAUAGGCGUCCACGCG